AAAGAAAAUAUGCUGCAUGCGACAGCUCAAAACGCUCAACACGAAAACUGGAAUUUCAUGACUGGCACCGGCCAGUCUCCAACGCUCAAUAAAAUACAGCCUUUCAGGCUAAAAUAAAAUAUGUAUGUAUUACACUCGUUAUAUCCCUUGUAUGAAUUUUCUUGAAACAACUAAAACAAAUAGCAAAUUCACACAAGGCUACAACGCUUGCGUCUAACGCUCACGUUGCACCAUAAUGGCAUUUUACCUCAUUAUGGUGGAAAAGACGGUGUAUAAAUAUACGCGCAUAUCCCCUAUAUAAAUUAUUAUUUUUAUACAGGGCUACAACGAUUGCGUCUAACGCUCUCGUUGCACCAUAAUGGAAUUUUACCUCAGUAUAGUGGAAAAGCACGUAUAGCUAACUAGAAUUCUCUCAUAUACAUAUUAUUCUCAUAAUCAUGCAUCCACAUAUGGAUAUAUAUAUAUACUCACCGAAAUUCUCAAUUUCGGUUAUUCUCCAACAACAUAAAUUAUUUCGCAUGCACAUUAUUUAAAACAAAAGUCUACUCACAAAUUAGGCCUAAGCCUGAUGUCGAUCUGGGGCCUCGUCAGCUCGAGCCUCCUCACGACCUGUUCCAAAUAUAAUAUUAAGUUCCCAGCCGAAAUUCCAAUAUUUAAUCAAAAUAGGCAAAAUUACCCGAGAGCCAUAAAUACGCUCAUCAUUGCCUAACUUCGAUAAUCUUAAAUUGGAACAAUCCGAACUUAAAUAUCAUACUUAACAGUCGUAAAUACAACCUCUCCAAAAUACGACUUAAAUCCUACGGCCGGAUUCUACAUUAAUUAACCGCCAAAAAUACUAACUUCGGAAAUUCAUAAACCUAUCCAAAACUCAUCCAAAAAUUCCAUAACUCACUUCAAUAAACUCCCUUAAUAUUCCAAAUUUAACAACAUUAAAAUCUGCCAACCGGCGGCGGCCGGAGGCCAGUUCCGGCGAUCUCCAAUUCCUAUGAAAUUUUAACAGCAUCUUCCUCUCAUCAUGCUCUACAACUUUCAUAACUAGCACAAACACCAAUUCCAAGCCUAACUAGGGCAAUCGACUAAAAACAUCAAAAACACCAUAAAACUUCCACCUCAAAUUUCUCCUUACCUAGCUCAAGAGGGAGUGAGUCCUUUUAGGGCAAGGCUGCUGGGUUGGAGGGCUAAAAAACCGUACCAAGCUUGCCCGGAUUGGUGGCCGGAGGAGGAAGUUCCGGCGACGUGAUCCCUAACAUAGUCGGACCUCUCGGGCCCGAUAUCUCCCUCACGGCGGCGCUAGGGGAGCUGUCACCGGUCCAAGAAGGUUGCUGGGUUGAAGACCGAUCGAUUGGGACCGGUGCGGCGGUCUGGGGCGGCCGGACGGCGGCGGUCUGGUGGUCGGAAAACGGGACAACGGGAGGGCUCGGGUGCGGGAGCGGGUGAGGAGAGAAAAUCGGGAGGAGAAAGAAUGGGUUUGGGCCUCACACCCCAAGCCGGUCCAUCACUUAUAAACUAUCCAAAUUCUAAAAUUAAACACCCCGAAAAAUAAUACCCGAAUAAAAAUUACCUUUUACUAGCUAAAAUUUACCAUUUUUACCGUCGUCGUAUUUUCCUCAUACGAAUAAUCCUCCGCACAUAAUCGUCCCCGAAACCCCUCUAGGGACCAAUUAAACUAUUUACUCAAUGAUCGAGACGGUAAAAUUCUUAUUAUAAUCAGGCUAGUAAAUAAAGUAAAAAAUAUAAGGGUCGGGAUGUGACAGGAAGUAGUUGAGUUUUUAGUUCCGUGAAAAUGCUCUAUUUUGAAGGGUUAAGAGUUGACUUUUUAAUCGGUUGAGUUUCUCGGGAAACUUCCUUCACGAAAGUUGUAGAGCACGACGAUACGAGUUCGUAGACACGUGGCACGCGUAAAACGGACUUCGUAUGUGGAAGUUAUGGUCAGCGGAAAUUGUGGCUUUUCGGGAAUAUUUAGGUUAAAUAGGAAAUUUUCAGUUGGGUUCUCAGUUUUUCAGAAAACAGAUUUUCCUCCCUCUCCUUCUCUCUGUCCUACCCCGAGAGAAUUCAAAGUCCUCCAGCCGACCCGACCCGGAACCGGUGACCCGACCCGGCUUUUCCGGCCACCUCCGACCGACCUAGACGCCGGCACCGGUCGGGUUCUCUUCCUCUCCACCAUCUGAGCUGCUCUACGGUGGUGACUUGCGCCGAUUCGGUCCCGAAGUGGUGACCCGAAGCUCAGAAUUUCGGGUUAGAGACCCGGUCGGGUUUCAGACCUCCGACGGCGACGACAAGGCGGGAGACCGGUCGGGAUAGAAGUUCCUUGGCGUCCUGGUCCGACUUCUGGUGGCCUUGGAGCGCGACUCACGGCGGAGAGUGGCGGUGGUGGAUUCCAAACUUUCCGACGCGUUUCCAGUGAUUUCCGGCCGAUUCCGGCCGAACUAGUUGAACCCUCAGGUAUAAAAGAUGCUCCUCUCUCCUCAAUCUACAAAUUUGAUGUUUUGAGUUUGCCCAAAUUCGGACGUUUUGUGGUGGCGCGUGGGGCUCACUCACCGCCGUCUGUGUUGGCGCAUGGCGGCGCGUCCGGUAGUGUCUGGGGUGUUUUGUGGUGCUGGUUAGAUAGUACUCUUCGAUACGAGCGUGUUGAUUUGUGGGUUGCAGGUUUUGGUUAUCUUUAUUGCAUGCUAGGGUUUCCCCGUGGUGUUAAGUUUCGUUCGUUCCAUUUUUUGAGUAAUUCGAACAUGAGAAUAUGGUUAGUAGUUCUAUAGGAUGUGUAGGACGUUUCAGCGACCUUUUAGAGGUCAAGGAAGAGGAUUUGUCUCGAGUGAUAAGCUCAUGGAUUAGGACUUGAGUUUCGGUUCGAGUUAGAUAAUGUGUUUUCAUAGUUACUAAGGUUAAUGUUUUGUUAAUAGGUGACUUGUGUGGUUUUGUGUGAUAUGCUUGUGUUGUGCGUGCGAAGACGCAGCUGGAUUUGAGGUGAGUAACUUCUCACUAAGGUCCACUUUCGGACAAAUCAUUUAUAAUUAUUAUGAUGUUGAUCUUGAAGAUGAUUAUGAUGAUGAUUGUGAUGUUGAAUUUUGAUAUGAUGAUGAUGAUGAUAAUUGUAUGAUGAUGAUGAGAUUAAUGAUGAUGAUGAAAAUGUUGAUGGAAAUGUUGAUGAUAUGAUGAUUUUGAUGAUAAUUAUUAUGAUGACGAUGGUAAUAGGCUUGAUUGAUGAUUAUGAUGCUAUUUUUAAUAUUGUGAGUAAAUCUCACAUGAGUUCUUAAGAAACCAAAUUUAUUUUAUAAUUUUGUUAUGGUUAGAUGUGAAGUUGUCCUUAAAGGAAAAAUGAUUUUUGUUUUAAAAAAAAUAAAUGAGCUUGAUCGUCAACGGCUCAUGGGUAAGUGAAAAUAUGUUUUCUGGUAAAAUAAAAUCUUUCAAAAGGACUUCCGAUCAUAUGAUUUGUGAUGCUGAAAUAUGGUUGUUGAUAUUUUUAUUCUAGUCGGAAUAUCUAUGUCUUUGUUAUAUAAAUAUAUUUAGGUGGAAAGAUAUAAUUUAUGAACUGCUCUUGUGAUGUUGUUUAAAUAGUCAAACCGGGUUCCUAGCCUUUAAUCGGGUGAUAUAUUACGGUUAUGAUUAUAUUAUUAUUUUAUGAUUUGAUAAGUGUUAUGUUGGGAGAGUAUUGGAAUGUGUGCCUUAGUGGUGAUUGUAUGCAUUAGUUGUGUAUGUGUGUGCCUUAGUUGUGAUUGUGUGCAUUAGUUGUGUAUGUUUGUGCCUUAGUGGUGAUUAUUAGAUUAGGAGCCUUCGUGGUGGACCGGGAACCAAGCUUUGGCCGGGUGAUUGGUUACGGUCAGUAUAGAGCUCUAGUCUGUCAGUCGGUACUUCAUGGGGGAUGACUAAGUGUUGACGAACCCAUGAGUACGCCUUUGUUUGGUUACUUAUGGGGGAUGACUAAGUGUUGGCGAACUCAUAAGUAAGAGUAGAGAAAUGUUUGUGAAAUGUUCUUAUGUGUUGUAUAAAUUCAUUGCUUUGAGUAUCUCCUGAACUAUGCUUAUCCGCAGGAGAUUCUUAAAUCUUAAUUGAGUGAUUUUAAAUUAUUGUGUUUUCUUAAUUGUUUCUUUUGAGUUCUCUUGCUUUUAGGCGAUUCCUGAACUAAGUUGCUAAUGCAGGAAUUACCAGUUUUAAUUAUAUGUGAUAUUGGGAUUGUUGGGUUAUUAUUUUGGGAGUUACUCAUACGAGCUUUUUAGCUUACCGGGUUUGUUGUUUACAACCCGGUGCACCAAUUAAUGGUGUAGGGGUUAGACCUGCAGGUGAUGAUCAGCAGGGUUGAGGCAGUGGCCUAGGAGCUGGGUUUUUUACGAGAUACAUUUAUUUGUAUUUUUAUGGUAGUUGUUUUAAGCUCUUGUGAGCGAAGUUGUUUAUUAUUAGACUUUUGGAAGUUGAUGUAAUUAAGGAGAAUAAAUGUUUAACUCAGUUGUUGAGUUUGUUGAUAUUUACAUUUCCAGUAUCUGUUUUUAGUUUGAUAGUUGUUGAGCAGGUUUUGGGGUAUUUAGAAUUUGAGUUUUAUCAUGCCCAAAUUUUUGAAAUUUUAUCCUUCGAAAAUUGGGGCGUGACAUCUUCGGCCUCUCCAAGUGUAGCCGCCCGGUAAAUGUUUCGAGGGUGCACAAGGUUGACUACUUUCCACGCGUCACCCUUAGCAAGGUCAUCAAGAUAAAACACUUGUUUUACCGAUGUGGCAAAAACGAACGGGU
rnacentral:lncRNA from 1 species